rnacentral:rRNA from 1 species
UACGGAGGGAGCUAGCGUUGUUCGGAAUUACUGGGCGUAAAGCGUACGUAGGCGGUUACUCAAGUCAGAGGUGAAAGCCCGGGGCUCAACCCCGGAACUGCCUUUGAAACUAGGUAGCUAGAAUCUUGGAGAGGUCAGUGGAAUUCCGAGUGUAGAGGUGAAAUUCGUAGAUAUUCGGAAGAACACCAGUGGCGAAGGCGACUGACUGGACAAGUAUUGACGCUGAGGUACGAAAGCGUGGGGGAGCAAACAGGG